rnacentral:rRNA from 1 species
AUUGAACGCUGGCGGCAUGCCUUACACAUGCAAGUCGAACGGUAACAGGUUAAGCUGAUGAGUGGCGAACGGGUGAGUAAUAUAUCGGAACGUGCCCAGUCGUGGGGGAUAACGUAGCGAAAGCUACGCUAAUACCGCAUACGAUCUACGGAUGAAAGCGGGGGAUCGCAAGACCUCGCGCGAUUGGAGCGGCCGAUAUCAGAUUAGGUUGUUGGUGAGGUAAAAGCUCACCAAGCCUGCGAUCUGUAGAUGGUCUGAGAGGACGACCAGCCACACUGGAACUGAGACACGGUCCAGACUCCUACGGGAGGCAGCAGUGGGGAAUUUUGGACAAUGGACGCAAGUCCGAUCCAGCAAUGCCGCGUGCAGGAGGAAGGCCUUCGGGUUGUAAACUGCUUUUGUACGGAACGAAACGGUGAGCUCUAAUACAGUUUGCUAAUGACGGUACCGUAAGAAUAAGCACCGGCUAACUACGUGCCAGCCGCCGCGGUAA